CAAGUGAUUCAACUAAAUCAUAUUGUGGAAGCCCCUGAUACUGAUCAAUUCAUCCCUCCUGCAGUGCAAGAAAUUUUGGCCAAGCACAAACAAGUCUUCACAGAACCUGACAAGCUCCCUCCCCACAGGUCCUUUGAUCACCAAAUCCCUCUUCUACCUGGAGCUAAACCUAUCAAUGUGAAACCAUACAGAUACAAUCCAAUGCAGAAGACUGAAAUUGAACAACAAGUAACUCAGAUGUUACAGCAAGGAGUCAUCCAGGAGAGCACUAGUCCUUUUGCUUCUCCAGUGUUGUUGGUCAGGAAGAAAGAUGGAACUUGGCGUUUUUGUGUGGACUACAGAAUGUUAAACUCUGUCACAGUGCCCCAUAAAUAUCCAAUGCCAGUAGUGGAUGAGUUACUUGAUGAGUUGGCUGGUGCUACAUUUUUCACUAAGCUGGAUCUUCGAUCAGGAUAUCAUCAAAUACGAGUGGUU
rnacentral:rRNA from 1 species